GGGGUAUAGCUCAAUGAUAGAGCACUUGAUUUGCACUCAAGGGGUUGUGGGUUUGAGUCCCAUUACUUCC
rnacentral:tRNA from 1 species